UCCGCGUUGAUCGCGGCGGUCCCGCUAGACAGAGUAACUAGCGGCAGGGGUUGCGCUCGUUGCGGGACUGAACCCAACAUCUCACGACACGAGCUGACGACAGCCAUGCAGCACCUGUGCAAUCGCCCUUGCGGGACGCUCCAUUACGAGCGGUGCAGUUGCAUGUCAAGUCCUGGUAAGGUUCUUCGCGUUGCAUCGAAUUAAACCACACGCUCCGCUGCUUGUGCGGGUCCCCGUCAAUUCCUUUGAGUUUUAAUCUUGCGACCGUACUCCCCAGGCGGACCACUUAAUGCGUAAGCUGCGGCACAGAAGGGGUCGAUACCUCCCACGCCUAGUGGUCAUCGUUUACGGCUAGGACUAC
rnacentral:misc_RNA from 1 species